rnacentral:rRNA from 1 species
AUUGAACGCUGGCGGCAGGCCUAACACAUGCAAGUCGAACGAGUGGCGGACGGGUGAGUAAUGUCUGGGAAACUGCCCGAUGGAGGGGGAUAACUACUGGAAACGGUAGCUAAUACCGCAUACCAUCGGAUGUGCCCAGAUGGGCUUAGCUAGUAGGUGGUGUAAUGGCUCACCUAGGCGACGAUCCCUAGUUGGUCUGAGAGGAUGACCAGCCAAAAUGGAACUGAGACACGGUCCAGACUCCUACGGGAGGCAGAAGUGGGGAAUAUUGCACAAUGGGCGCAAGUCUGAUGGAGCCAUGCCGCGUGUAUGAAGAAGGCCUUCGGGUUGUAAAGUACUUUCAGCGGUGAGGCGUUACCCGCAGAAGAAGCACCGACUAACUCCGUGCCAGCAGCCGCGGUAAUUC